AUGACCGACCCCCUGACAUCGGCGGCGCGAGAUUUUUAUGCCGCAGAAGUCGAUGUCGGGGUCUCGGUCGU
rnacentral:pre_miRNA from 1 species